CCUAGGCACGCUAGUGAGUGGCAGGGCUGGGGUUUAAACCCAAGCCUGAGGCCUGAACGUUGUUUACGCUGACAGCUCUGGAAUGAGCCCUUCCUUCAUUCGGGCGGCGCCACCCCAGCAUCGCCCCGCACGAUCUAGGGAAUGAAUGAAGGGUGGCUGGCCGAGAAACCGGGGGCUCGUUGGCAGAAGGUAGGAAGAGGCUUCUCCAGGGUGAAGAAACUUCUCCUGCCUGGAAACUGUGGCUAUCGCUCAAUGGCAGAGUGCUUCCUUAGCAUGCAAAAGACCCUGGGUUUAUUCCCAGGACUGCAAAAACCACUGGAACAAACAAACCAAACCAUCAAGUAUCAGUCACUGGGAAACAUAUACCUGGAACUCAGAACUCAGAAGAACUCUAACAAGCGAGGCUUGGUCCUCAAUAGGCCAAUAAACUGACAGGCUUGAAUCUACCUGGACAGCACCUUGUCAGACGAUUUCCAAGGCAGCAGACAACCCCAGGACACCUGUCUACCUCAGAAGCCCCCUUCCCUACCCUCGAAGAGUCAACCAACGCCCACCAAGUCAUCUGGAAGCAGUUUUUCAGGGAGAAACAAUGCCCCUAUUCCUGUUCACCCGCUUUCUUUAUAAUAAACAAAAAGUCUGAAAUGUUAGGAUUACUGCCACUACUCCAGCUGCAUGAACACACAUGCGCAGUUUUCAGUAGUUAAGUAAGGGGUCUUAGUCUUGCCUCUUCAGUGCACUGCAUAAUCUCGGUCACGCAAUCAGCGCAUGUGUGGCAUAGCUCUGUAAGCCUACCUGUGCGUGUGCACAGGAAUCCUUAAAAAGCAGGACACAGACUCCUCUCUUCUCUGUCCUCUCCUCCC